UCAUACAAUCAUCUCCUCCCUUCGUACGACAUCCUCCCCGCAUAAGAAAAUAGGGCGAGAGAGAAAAAGAAACGGAGGAAAAAUGAAAGGAAACCACGAGCACACAACCCCACGACCCCACGAUCCAAUCCCAGACGCCCUCGCCCCGAGAGGCCGAGAGAAAUCUCCCCGCUUCAGGUUCCGCCCUGCGGUCUUCCCGUCGCCGUCGAUUGUCUCUCGCCUCGUCCAGUCCAUGGGCCUUUCGCCAUGCCCGCGAUGCGCCAGGGCCGGGAUCAGUACAGCGCCUGCAGAGAGUGGUAUGAGCGCAGCGCAGCCGACGCCUCCUCUCCACCCGCCGCUGGUGAGGACUCUGAGGAUGGCUACCGAUCACGGUCUCUUUUCAUCAUACAGGCAAGGAGACCAUCGAUCGGAACCGGUGCACGACGUGUGGCAUGCCAUUAGAGAAUAGUGAAGCAAGUCCAUGGAUGAAGAAUCCUUAGCACCGGCCUAUGUGGCAGCAUUAAACAGUUCGUGUGAAGGGACUCAUCAUUGCUUCGACACUGAUUCAGUAGGAAUCACCAGUUCACCACCGCCGCCGCCGUUGAAAGCGUGUAGAAAUAGUGUUUUUUUUCUGUUCUCCUCAUUGGUGUUCCGGUCCCUUCCUAUCGACUCAUGCAGAUUCCCGACAUGUCCGUAGUUUUGUUUGUUCAGAUGCAGGUUCUCUCCUAGGUUUGAUGGUGCAGAAGCCAGCGGCAUUGGCGCGCUGCAGCCUGCAGGUCAUGGAUGUGAAGAAGCAAGCACGAGGCCGGGCUGUCUAGCAGCAGGGCACUGUAUUUCUCAAUCCUAAAUCCUGCUUUCCUUUCUUUAUUUUUUGUCGCUUGAUCUGGAUUGGCGAUUGGGAUCAAUUAGAAAAUGUAGACCAAUGUAGGAAUUACUUUUGCUGUAUAUUGUUAAUGUAGCAACUAAAACGAGUAAAUUACGUGAUGCAUCUCAUUUGGACGGAGAACA